rnacentral:rRNA from 1 species
UACGUAGGUGGCAAGCGUUGUCCGGAUUUACCGGGCGUAAAGAGCGCGCAGGCGGUCGUCCAAGUCGCGUGUGAAAGCCCCCGGCUCAACUGGGGAGGGUCACGCGAUACUGGUCGACUCGAAGGCAGGAGAGGGUAGUGGAAUUCCCGGUGUAGUGGUGAAAUGCGUAGAUAUCGGGAGGAACACCAGUGGCGAAGGCGACUACCUGGCCUGUUCUUGACGCUGAGGCGCGAAAGCUAGGGGAGCAAACGGG